AGGAUAAACGCUGGCGGCGUGCAUGAGACAUGCAAGUCGAACGGACACUUGGGGCUUGCUCCAAGUGUUAGUGGCGGGCGGCUGAGUAACGCGUAGGUGACCUGUCCCGAAGUGGGGAAUAACUGCCCGAAAGGGUGGCUAAUACCGCAUGUGGUGGUGUGUUCAUUCACACCAGUAAAGCCGCAAGGCGCUUCGGGAGGGGCCUGCGUCCGAUUAGCUCGUUGGUGGGGUAACGGCUCACCAAGGCGACGAUCGGUAGGUGGUCUGAGAGGACGAUCACCCAGACUGGGACUGAGACACGGCCCAGACUCCUACGGGAGGCAGCAGUCGGGAAUUUUGCGCAAUGGACGAAAGUCUGACGCAGCAACGCCGCGUGAGGGAUGAAGGCCUUCGGGUUGUAAACCUCUUUUAUCAGGGAAGAUAAUGACGGUACCUGAUGAAUAAGUCACGGCUAACUACGUGCCAGCAGCCGC
rnacentral:rRNA from 1 species